rnacentral:rRNA from 1 species
CCUACGGGUGGCAGCAGUGAGGAAUAUUGGUCAAUGGGCGAGAGCCUGAACCAGCCAAGUCGCGUGAAGGAUGACGGCCCUACGGGUUGUAAACUUCUUUUGUCAGGGAGCAAUUGGGUCCACGCGUGGGCUUAGCGAGAGUACCUGAAGAAAAAGCAUCGGCUAACUCCGUGCCAGCAGCCGCGGUAAUACGGAGGAUGCGAUCGUUAUCCGGAUUUAUUGGGUUUAAAGGGUGCGUAGGCGGAAUAUCAAGUCAGCGGUAAAAAUUCGGGGCUCAACCCCGUCGUGCCGUUGAAACUGAUGUUCUUGAGUGGGCGAGAAGUAUGCGGAAUGCGUGGUGUAGGGGUAAAAUCCGUAGAGAUCAAGAGGAAUACUCAUUGCGAAGGCGACCUGCUGGAACAUUACUGACGCUGAUGCACGAAAGCGUGGGGAGCAAACAGGAUUAGAUAUCCGAGUAGUC